rnacentral:rRNA from 1 species
CCUACGGGCGGCAGCAGUGGGGAAUAUUGGACAAUGGGGGGAACCCUGAUCCAGCCAUGCCGCGUGUGUGAAGAAGGCCCUCGGGUUGUAAAGCACUUUCAGUGAGGAAGAACGCCUGGUGGUUAAUACCCAUCAGGAAAGACAUCACUCACAGAAGAAGCACCGGCUAACUCCGUGCCAGCAGCCGCGGUAAUACGGCGGGUGCGAGCGUUAAUCGGAAUUACUGGGCGUAAAGCGCGCGUAGGUGGCUUGAUAAGCCGGUUGUGAAAGCCCCGGGCUCAACCUGGGAACGGCAUCCGGAACUGUCAAGCUAGAGUGCAGGAGAGGAAGGUAGAAUUCCCGGUGUAGCGGUGAAAUGCGUAGAGAUCGGGAGGAAUACCAGUGGCGAAGGCGGCCUUCUGGACUGACACUGACACUGAGGUGCGAAAGCGUGGGUAGCAAACAGGAUUAGAUACCCGUGUAGUC